UCAGAUGGUUGGAGCAUCGCUUCUUUAUUUUUUUAAAGAAGAGGAAAGUCCGGGCUCUUUGAAGGAAGGAUGCUGGUUAACGGCCAGCGAGGGAAACCUUAGGGAAAGUGCCACAGAAAAUAUACCGCCGAAAGGUAAGGGUGAAAUGGUGUGGUAAGAGCGCACCGCGUUCUUGGUGACAAGGACGGCAGGGCAAACCCCAUCCGGAGCAAGACCAAGUAGGAAUGACACGAGGCUAUCCUUCAGGCCGUCAUUCGGGUGGGUCGCACGAGCUGGUCAGCAAUGCACAGCCUAGAUGAAUGAUGUUCGCCCUUUAAGGGAACAGAACCCGGCUUAUAGACCAUCUGAUAUU
rnacentral:RNase_P_RNA from 1 species